ACGCAACGGAACGGUGAACAGAAAACGGAAGCCAUGGCGGCGGCUUAAGAGAGAGAGAGAGAGAGAGGGAGAGGAAGAGGAAGAGGAAGAGGAAGUGGCGGCGCAUGUGUACAUGUGACCGACAGCGGUCGGAGAAGGCCUACGGCGCCAUCGUUCACAUCAACCGCUUCUUCAAGGACGGCAUCUGCCACAGCGCCAUCCAGUGAAGUCAAUUCAACCUCCACUGCUAGCUUGCUAGUGCUUCACAGUUCAGAGUCACUCCAAGAUUUAGUUCAUGGCACAAAAAUUCAGAGAACAAACAGAAUGCAGCCCCAAGCACAAGAUCUGAUCACGGGUUUCAUGUAAAACUCUUUAUCAUUGAUCAUUUACAUCACCAACAUAACAAAAAGCAAAUGCCAAAAGAAAGAUGUCUACCUAGAAGAGUUACACACACAACCCAUCAUUUGUGAUGUGGAAGUCGAGGUAAGGCCCUGAGAAGUAUAGAGGUGAUGGAGUGCAGUGCAGUGGCUGCUAUUCUACUCUUUAUUUGUCCUCGCCGUGGUAUAAGUCGCCUUCCUCCUGACCUCCUAUUCACUGAAGCAGUGGCAAGAACAGCAGUAAAUAUCUUGCUCAUGGUGAGAAAUGCUGGCAAGCAGUGCUGCAGGCUUUCAGACUUUGGUGGUUUUUGGGACUCUCUGUAUGCUGUCAUCUUCAGUUUCAAGCUAUAUAUAGGGAUCAUACAGUACAACCAGGAUCUUUUAAAAUAUCUGCAAGGCUGGAUACUGGUGGUGAGACAUGCCAGCAAAUUUUCUCCUAUUUCUAAUACAAUUUGGCUCUGAUUCCAUACAGAAGGAUAACUCUGAUUUGUUGUGGCUUCUUCCAUUAGUUCAAAUAUGACAGAUGACAUUCAUGUGUUCAUAAUUCAGUAAAGUUGGUUCUGCUUGUAUUCUGUUGGCAACUCCUGAAUUUAUUCAUGGAUCAGUCGAAGCUUGACUUCGAAAGUGAUUAGGUUUGCCUGUCUGCAACUACUGCCACUAACAGGAGGCUAUGGAUACCCAUGGAACAAGGUUUUCUAGAGCAGAACGUAUGGUCUUUUAUUCUUGCAAUGAGGCUUCCAGUUUCUGUAGCUCCUUGACAUCAUAAAGAAGUAGAUUUCUGUCUCCCUACCUUAAAUUAAUAAUUAAUUAUAAAGCCUUGACUUCUGCAAGCCUAUGGCUUUAAAGAAAUAUGAACAAGAUGGAGAGGCUGUAAUGGAUGGAACUCUCUUCUGAGGAUCUUCCAACAUGUCACAUGCAAAUGAACUCGAACUCUGCUGAGAAACAAAGAAGUAAAGAAUGAUUGAUAUUAUGCUUCAAAACAACAGGCAGUUGAAAGUUUCAAGCCCAAUGGUGCAUGCACAGAGGUCUAUCCACUCUCAUUUCUUAAUCUGUUUUUUUGUGUGCAUGAAGUGUAUUAGUAGAUUUAAUUAUCUAUUGGAACUUAUUCCCAUGAUGUUAUA